rnacentral:rRNA from 1 species
UACAGAGGUGGCAAGCGUUGUUCGGAAUUACUGGGCGUAAAGGGCGCGUAGGCGGCCUUCUAAGUCGGACGUGAAAGCCCCAGGCUUAACCUGGGAACUGCGUCGGAUACUGGAUGGCUUGAAUUCGGGAGAGGGAUGCAGAAUUCCAGGUGUAGCGGUGAAAUGCGUAGAUAUCUGGAGGAAUACCGGUGGCGAAGGCGGCAUCCUGGACCGAGAUUGACGCUGAACGACGAAAGCUAGGGGGGCAAACGGG